rnacentral:rRNA from 1 species
CCUACGGGUGGCAGCAGUAGGGAAUCUUCCACAAUGGACGAAAGUCUGAUGGAGCAACGCCGCGUGUGUGAUGAAGGGUUUCGGCUCGUAAAACACUGUUGUAAGAGAAGAAUGACAUUGAGAGUAACUGUUCAGUGAGUGACGGUAUCUUACCAGAAAGGAACGGCUAAAUACGUGCCAGCAUCCCGGGUAAUACUAUGUUCCCAACCGUAACCGGGAUUAAUGGGCGUAAAGCGAGCGGAGACGGUUAUUUAAGUCCGAAGUGAAAGCCCACAGCUUAACGGGGGAAGUGCUUUGGAAACUGGAUAACUGGAGUGGAGUAGAGGAGAGUGGAACUCCAGGUGUAGCGGUGAAAUGCGUAGAUAUAUGGAAGAAUACCGGUGGCGAAGGCGGCGCUCUGGACUGUAACUGACGUUGAGGCGCGAAAGUGUGGGUAGCAAACAGGAUUAGAUACCCGAGUAGUC